UACGUAGGGGGCAAGCGUUAUCCGGAUUUACUGGGUGUAAAGGGAGCGUAGACGGCCAGACAAGUCUGAAGUGAAAAUCCAGCGCUUAACGCUGGAAGUGCUUUGGAAACUGCCGGGCUGGGGUGCAGGAGGGGCAGGCGGAAUUCCUAGUGUAGCGGUGAAAUGCGUAGAUAUUAGGAGGAACACCAGUGGCGAAGGCGGCCUGCUGGACUGCAACUGACGUUGAGGCUCGAAGGCGUGGGGAGCAAACAGG
rnacentral:rRNA from 1 species